GUGGGCGGGGCCAGGGACGGGGCGGAGCCGGGCGGCCCCUUCCCGGCGCAUGCGCGGCCGCUCCGGCCCCCAGGGCCGCGGGCGGGCGUUGGCGCUGGGUGUCCGGGGCCCCCGGGCCGCCCCCUCCCCGGCGCGGGGCUCCCGCUUGCCGCAGCCCGGAGGCGGCGGGGCGGCAGCAGCGAGCGCUGCCCCGGCCGGGCCGCCCGGCCCCAGCACCCGUUGCCAGUCGAGACAAGAAAAGAGCACUUGUGGGAAGGGGAUGCGCUGGUUCUGCUCAGCGGAGCAUCCGGAGAGGAGGACAGAGUCUCUCAGGAAGAGCCUGAAGCCUUGCCGUAAGGACACGGGACACAUCAAAUGGUGCACAACAUACAGACAGAGCCAUGAAUCCACCUGGUCUUCACUUUCUGACUUCUGAUCUAAUGAAAAUGCUAAACAAGGCAGGAUUUGCUAGGUACAGUAAGUUCCCAUUAUAAUAACUAUAAUAAUAAUUUAAAUAUAGUAAUAAUUUCUGUGGCUCUUUGAUCCCCAUAUAUAUAUACACACACUUGUCCACACCUAAACUGUAUUUCUUCCUUAAUGAAAACCUGGUAAUUUUGCCCAUCAGCCUGGGUGGCUUGCUCUUUACAACUCUGUAGUCCAAGCGUCUAAUCCUGCAAGACAGCCUUUACAGUAAGUGCUUCAAUUAAAAACUAGUUGCCUCUCUCCUACUUUCAACAUCAGUUAUUUUGAAAUACAAAGACUACUUUUAAUUCUCUCUCCUCCUUCAAGGGUAUUUUCCUAAAACACAGAUUUGCAUGAAGAAAUGUCGAUAAAAAUAGGCACCGCCUGACCCUGACCCCUCUCCACAGCACAGCAGCAUUGCACAGAGCAGAGGGUCACUGCCAGGGGGUCUGAGUCUCUCCGCUUUGCAGCCUAACACCAAAACCUUUCUCUCUUGUUUCGUGGGAACCUCGGGAAGCCACAGUCAGGACUGGCACCUCGCUGGGCCAGAGGGUGGAUAAGCAGCUGUGAGGACGGGGGGAAGUUUGCAGUCCUCCCUGCUUUUUUCAGUGCACAUCUGUUUCCUUAUGAAAAGUGCUAACAGCUGCUCCAGAUGAGUCCUGAUAGCUCUGGAGACAAGCACUUCGAGGUGCUUUGGGCAAAUAUACCUGAUCUUGCUCUGCAAAGACUUGUCACGUUAGGUUAAUCCACUCUUCACGUCAACUGAACAAACCAGCAAGGCUGGCAGUCCUUUGACACGGGCACCUGCCUAUUGCAAUAGGGAUUAAAGUCACAAAACUCAUUUCUCACACGCCACAGGACCUUCCUGAGAGCAUCACAGACCCGAGGCGGACACCUUGGCUGGGCUGGGCCGGAGCCGACGAGCAGGGGGCGAAAACUCCCCAUUUCAUGACAAACCUCUGCAGCCGCCCCAUCCAUCCUGUCAGCACAACGUUGGACUCUGCUUCGGGGAGCCCCUUCUCCAUCCUUCUUCAAAGGAAGGUGCGUUUCCUCCUUACCGGGGUUCUGCGAGAAAGAAGAGCUACACUGUAAAAAACCACUGCUAUCACUGCUAGAUAAAAACAACCGUGUUGUUUUAAAGGAAAUAAAGCACAGAACUCAACUGCCAAGUGAACUCCUUGGCGGUCAGCUGGA